rnacentral:piRNA from 1 species
UGGGAGCCAAGCCCAGAUGCUC